GAUAAUUUAAUAUUUUAACCGUAGACAGUAGGUACUCUUGUGAGUUUAAAUUUGCCUACCGAGGUUGUUUUUUAAGUGAUAGGAAACAAUAGCCUCUCUGUGUCUACGGAGAGGCUUUAAUUGUGCUUAA
rfam:Caloranaerobacter azorensis H53214 contig58, whole genome shotgun sequence.